rnacentral:lncRNA from 1 species
CUGAAUACUAAAAUUUAUGAUAAAAGAGAUGAUUUUUCAUUUCCUAUCGUUAAUUAUCCAUUUUUAGAUGGUGACAUUCCCUUGUCACCAUCUUACGUGUUUAUAUAUCUCAACUUGUACGAUUCGCUCGUGUAUGUAACAAUGUUUUGGAUUUUAACGAGAGAAAUUUAUGUAUUACUGAAAAAUUAGGUCAUUAAAGAUUGCAUAUUUUGGCGUUAAUAUUGAUUCACUUAUAGGGUCUUUGCAUCGGAACUAAACAAAUUUAUUCAAAAACCAGUUGUUGGCAUGACACGAGUUAUGUUCUUCUCAUAUAUGUUAAGAUGGUAUGAUACUAAACCCCUAACGGGAAGGAUUGUGCCUGAUGUUCAUAUGAUGAAAUCAUAAUCUUUCAGUCAGUUUAAUUGAAGUCUGGAGCUGGCAUGUCAGUUAACUCCUAGUAGUCUGUUGUUAUUUAUGUAUUAUUGUCAUUUUGUUUCUUUUCUUUGGUUACAUCUUCUGACAUCAGACUCGGACUUCUCUUGGACUGAAUUUUUAUGUGCGUAUUGUUAUACGUUUACUUUUCUACAUUGGCUAGAGGUAUAGGGGGAGGGUUGAGAUCUCACAAACAUGUUUAACCCCGCCGCAUUUUUGCCUGUCCCAAGUCAGGAGCCUCUGGCCUUUGUUAGUCUUGUAUUAUUUUAAUUUUAGUUUCUUGUGUACAAUUUGGAAAUUAGUAUGGCGUUCAUUAUCACUGAACUAGCAUAUAUUUGUUUAGGGGCCAGCUAAAGGACGCCUCCGGGUGCGGGAAUUCCUCGCUACAUUGAAGACCUGUUGCUGACCUUCUGCUGUUGUUUUUUUUUUUUUUUUUUCGAUGGUCGGGUUGUUGUCUCUUUGGCACAUUCCCCAUUUCCAUUCUCAAUUUUAUUUAGAGUUAAGAUGACAAGAUUGGUUUUGAAAAGGUCAAUAAUUUCUACAGUAAAUGGACAUAUUUUUAUAAAUUCUUUCAUAGAUACAAAGAUUUGAUUAGUAAAUUUGGCUAUACCUGUAGAAAGCUUAUUAAAAAUGGUAUUUCACA